GGCUACUCUGCGAUGCGCACACGCCAGGCGGAGAGACGAUGGAUUACGAUUGGGAG
rnacentral:sRNA from 1 species